rnacentral:lncRNA from 1 species
UGUUUUAUGUCAUUAUUGCGAGAAUGUCACUCUAUGAGUUGUCACUUGCCGAUAAUUUAUUAUUAAAAAGCCGCCGAGCCGUGUGUACGCUGCCGGGAAUAUGUGAGGUGUUGUGUUGUUUUGGAAUAACCUUAGUACACCUUUUGGCGACGAGACAAGAUUGCGGAAUGAGGACUAAUAAGUACGUGAAUCUGUACUAAAAGGUGUAGACCUUCGUAGAAAACAGGUAUGCGGCUCGAAUUCAACCAAUUCUGGGUGAGUUUAUUAUACGAAAUUAAUAAAGCGUAUGCAUAUUUUUUGUUUUAUAUUUUUCAGUUAUCAUAAAGGAUUUAUUAAUGAAUAAUAAACCAUUGACUUCACAUAGGUCAAAGUACAUACACAGCAUAUACUGUUAGGCAAAAAA